AUUUGAAUUAGCCCGCUUCAUCACGAAAGGGGUCGCGUGACCGUAUACGAUAAAAUAAAUAGUAGCCAGAGCCAUGAAAAUUUAAUACAGACCCGAGGUUCCUUUUCGCCUGCCAGACGGGAGUUUUGCCAUUCUCCGGUAGGCUAUAUAAUAAAAAUGCAAUGGCAACUUCAACAAAUGGUUUUUUUACAGCAAAAUCGUUACUGACAGGCCAAAAAUAUACACACGAGACAAAGGUUCACAAUCCUUGGAUCGAUGCCUUCUCAGAUCCAAAAGCUGAUCUGCAAACUUUCAGCACCUGUAUGGCCCUUUCUGAUCUCAAUGCGGAUAAUGACUAUAAAUUGAUCUUGGGUGAUUUCGGAAAUGGGAUUCAAGUAAAACUGAAAGUUUACAAAGGUACAUCUCUAAAUGUGGAACUUCCUCUUUUAACUCAGCCAGUAGCCAUUGUCUGCCUUUAUACUGAUCGUACUGACCCUCGAAUACCAGGGAUAGCUGUUGCUACAGGAUCGAAUGUCCUAGUCUAUCGAAAUUGCCGACCAUAUUUCAAAUUUACCCUUCCACCACAAGAAGGUAGCAGCUUGGAAGCAGACGUAUGGAGUGAAAUAUCAAAUGCCGAUCAGCUAAUACAAGUUUUAAAAGAUCUGAGUCUGGAAUUGGGGUUUACCAAUUUAAGCUCACCGAGCCAGAAUGUACUCUUAAUGGAUCCUUCAUUGAGAGAUGAGUUCAUAUCAAGUAACACACAUUUUAUGAUUAAAAAACAAAUGGUGAUAACAUGUGUUACAACUUUACGCAAAUACGCUGAUAAUGACAGAGACGUUUCUUGCGUCUUACUCGCAACUGAAAGUGCACAAUUGUUUGUAAUGGAUCCUGAAACAUUUACACUGGUCAAUGAAUUCAAGUUGCCAGAUGUGUGCUGCAAUAUAGCAGCUUAUGGAGUUUACUUGGUUGAGUACUGCGUACUAAUGUCUUUCAGAAAUGGCUCUCUAUUUGCUUUACGAGGAAACAGUUUACGCUAUAUUACCCAAUUAUUUUCUUUGCCUGUUUCUAUCAAUUUGUUUACUAACAAAAUAGUUACUGCUAAUAUGGACAGCUCUCUUAGUUGCUAUAAUAUGAAGGGAAGAAAAUAUUGGGCUGUCAAGCUACCAGACAACCCUCUUUACAUGACUGAUAUACUGCUUUCAAGUUUUGCACUACACUUGAUAGCUGUUGCUUUAUCAAAAGGAAACAUAUAUUUUUACAAUGAUUCUACAUUAGUACAUGUGUUGACUACUCUGGAACCAAUCUAUUCUAUGAUCUUUGGAAAGUAUGGGCAAGAGGAGCAUGCUCUAAUUUCAAUAUCUUCCAGUGGAGCUUUAGACAUACGGCUUUUGAAAAGAACUGCUCAGUUCAGCAAUGAUUAUGCCAGCUAUAUUCAGCAUAAUGCUGGAAUAAGGCCACAUGACAUAAAGUUCCUUGUACCCAAAAAAAGCAAAUUAUUUCUGGAACAGUCUCUUAGGGAAAGACAAAAAUGCCGAGAAAUGCAUACUUGGUUUCAUCAUUCAUGGACAAGUCUCAAAGUGCUUACAAGUGAAUCUUAUAUAAGUGCACUGCACAAUGCAUCAGUGACUCAUAACGAAUCACUUAAAAUGAUUGUAGAGGUCGUGGGUUUGGGACCAAGAAUGAAAAUCAGAAUGAUAUUGCAGAAUAUGUCUCCGAACAUUGUACCAGUAGAUCUCAAAGUUACUUUUAUAUAUGAACCAAAGCUGUAUGUUCUACACAAUCCUAUAUUAUAUGUACCGAUGUUGGUGAGAGGGACCAAAUAUUUCUUAGAAACUUUUGUCACAUGCCAAAUGCCUGUUGUGGGUCUUAUAAGGGUUCUUGUUGUCUCUUCAGCUGUACUUUUAUCAACCACUGUUAAUAUGCCAGAUUGUUGAGCCUGAUAAAAAUUGACAACCUCGGUGUUCACAAUCUCUAAAACAGUGUGUUCUGGAUGGAUGCAGACAAAAUCUCCCCAGGCUAAACAAAAGCCUUUUGAUCUCGAAUAAUUUUCAGGCAAUAUUAUGAAAAAUUAGAUCAAAAGAAAGAGGAUAAGUUAAAAGAAGCAAUUAUGAAAAGGAAUGCCAAGGUGGCACAAAUAAUUGGAACUACCUACUGAGAUUCGUGUGUCACCUGAUUUUCAGAGGUUAACCUUACAGUGUUCAUGGGAUAUUUUAAGUACUAAGGUAACUGUUAUGGAGAGGUCAAUGGUGUUGCCAUGGGUGUAACACAGUUCCCUUCCUAAGCAUUAUUGAUUGAAUUGCUGAUUAUGAAUGGAUUGUUGGA
rnacentral:misc_RNA from 1 species